rnacentral:rRNA from 1 species
GACGCCCUACGGGACGCAGCAGUGGGGAAUAUUGGGCAAUGGGCGCAAGCCUGACCCAGCAACGCCGCGUGAAGGAAGAAGGCUUUCGGGUUGUAAACUUCUUUUAUUGAGGACGAAACAAAUGCCGGUACUCAAUGAAUAAGCCACGGCUAACUACGUGCCAGCAGCCGCGGUAAUACGUAGGCGGCAAGCGUUAUCCGGAUUUACUGGGUGUAAAGGGCGUGUAGGCGGGACUGCAAGUCAGAUGUGAAACCCAUGUGCUCAAC